rnacentral:rRNA from 1 species
AUGGGAUUCCAAGAUAUACAUUGUUUCAAUUUGGCGUUACUAGCCAAGCAAGCGUGGCGUUUGCUUGAUAAUCCGGAAUCGUUAUGUGCCACAACCCUGAGAGCUAAAUAUUUCCCGGAUGGCGAUUUAAUGAAUGCAAGUCUAAAGAAGGGUUCCUCUUUCACCUGGCAAAGCAUUAUGGCGGGGGUUAAUUCUCUAAGGAAUGGCUAUAUCUGGCGAGUUGGAAACGGACAAAAAAUUGAUAUUUGGGAAGAUGCAUGGAUCCCGAAUUGUGCAAAUAGAAAAAUAAUUACCCCUAGAAGGGGGAAACUUUUGUCAAAGGCUUCUGAUCUUAUUGACCCAAGUACGAGUUAUUGGGAUGAAGACUUGGUGAGACAAACGUUGUGGCCAAUUGACGCUCAAAGGGUACUUGCAAUCCCCCUUCUGAUACAUGAAAUGACGGAUUUCAUUGCUUGGAGUUUCACAAAAAAUGGGUUGUUCACUGUUCGAUCGGCUUAUUGGGAGGAAUGGAACAAACAGCAUGGAAGAAACUUACAAUAUACGAAUGGUAUGGGUAGAUCCAAUGCUAAUCUUGUUUGGAGCAAGAUCUAG